rnacentral:tRNA from 1 species
GGGAGGAUGGCCGAGUGGUUAAGGCGCUGUGUUUAGGCCGCAGUGGGAUUUCCCGCGUGGGUUCAAGUCCCACUCCUCUCA